UGUCCUUACGGGGCGCAGCAGUAGGGAAUCUUUCACAAUGGGCGAAAGCCUGAUGGAGCAACGCCGCGUGCAGGAUGAAGGCCUUCGGGUUGUAAACUGCUUUUAUAAGCGAGAAAUAUGAUGGUAACUUAUGAAUAAGGAUCGGCUAACUACGUGCCAGCAGCCGCGGUAAUACGUAGGGGGCAAGCGUUAUCCGGAUUUACUGGGUGUAAAGGGAGCGUAGACGGCGCGGCAAGUCUGAAGUGAAAGGCAGGGGCUUAACCCCUGAACUGCUUUGGAAACUGCCAUGCUAGAGUGCUGGAGAG
rnacentral:rRNA from 1 species